rnacentral:rRNA from 1 species
CCUACGGGUGGCAGCAGUGGGGAAUAUUGGACAAUGGGCGAAAGCCUGAUCCAGCCAUGCCGCGUGUGUGAAGAAGGCCUUCGGGUUGUAAAGCACUUUCAGUGGGGAAGAAAGCCUUGGGGCUAAUACCCUCGAGGAAGGACAUCACCCACAGAAGAAGCACCGGAUAACUCCGUGCCAGCAGCCGCGGUAAUACGGAGGGUGCGAGCGUUAAUCGGAAUUACUGGGCGUAAAGCGCGCGUAGGCGGUCUGAUAAGCCGGUUGUGAAAGCCCCGGGCUCAACCUGGGAACGGCAUCCGGAACUGUCAGGCUAGAGUGCAGGAGAGGAAGGUAGAAUUCCCGGUGUAGCGGUGAAAUGCGUAGAGAUCGGGAGGAAUACCAGUGGCGAAGGCGGCCUUCUGGACUGACACUGACGCUGAGGUGCGAAAGCGUGGGUAGCAAACAGGAUUAGAUACCCUGGUAGUC